rnacentral:rRNA from 1 species
GACGAACGCUGGCGGCGCGCUUAACACAUGCAAGUCGAACGGAAAGGCCUGCUUUCCCUUGUGGAUUGCGGGUACUAGCGUGGCGAACGGGUGAGUAACACGUGCGUGAUCUGCCCCCAACUCGGGUAUAAGCCUGGGAAACUGGGUCUAAUUCCCGAUAGGACUGCAGGGUGGUGCCUGUGGUGGAAAACGAUUUUCUAGUGGUUGGGGAUGAGCUGUCGGGCUAUCAGCUUGUUGGUGGGGUAAUGGCCUACCAAGGCGGGGACGGGUAGCCGGCCUGGGAGAGCCGACCGGCGCAGUGGGACGGCGAUACUGCGCAUACUCCUACGCGCAGCAUCAGUCGGGAAGAAUGCGCGGUGGGCGGAAGCCUGAUGCAGCGACGCUGCGUCAGGGAUGACGGGCUUCGGAUGGUGGACUCCGGUCGACCGCGAGGUAGCCACCGUGUUGGAAGGGUGGUGACGGUAGUGGUAGAAGAAGCACCGGCUAACUACGUG